GCUGACCGCUGGCGGCGUGCCUAAUACAUGCAAGUCGAGCGCAGCGGGGCCGGGUGAGUAACACGUGGAUAACCUCCUAUAAGACUGGGAUAACUUCGGGAAACCGUCGCUAAACCGGCUACUUAUAGAUGGAUCCGCGCUGCAGUAGCUAGUGGGUAAGGGAACGGCUUACCACGGCAACGAUGCAUAGCCGACCUGAGAGUGUGAUCGGCCACACUGUAACUGAGACACGGUCCAGACGCCUACGGGAGGCAGCAGUAGGGAAUCGGCCGCAAUGGGCGAAAGCCGGACGGAGCAACGCCGCUUGAGUGAUGAAGUUCUUCGGAUCGUAAAACUCUGUUAUUAGGGAAGCGGUACCUAAUCAGAAAGCCACGGCUAACUACGUGCCAGCAGCCGCGGUAAUAC
rnacentral:rRNA from 1 species